CUACGGGUUGCAGCAGUGGGGAAUAUUGGACAAUGGGCGGAAGCCUGAUCCAGCAAUGCCGCGUGUGUGAAGAAGGCCUGCGGGUUGUAAAGCACUUUCAGUGGUGAGGAAGGUCCUGCAUUAAAUAGGUGUAGGAAUUGACGUUAACCACAGAAGAAGCACCGGCUAACUCUGUGCCAGCAGCCGCGGUAAUACGGAGGGUGCAAGCUUUAAUCGGAAUUACUGGGCGUAAAGCACGCGUAGGCGGCUAGAUCAGUCGGGUGUGAAAGCCCCGGGCUUAACCUGGGAACUGCAUCCGAUACUGUCUAACUUGAGUACAGGAGAGGAGAGUGGAAUUCCACAUGUAGCGGUGAAAUGCGUAGAUAUGUGGAGGAACACCAAUGGCGAAGGCAGCUCUCUGGCCUGAUACUGACGCUGAGGUGCGAAAGCGUGGGGAGCAAACAGGAUUAGAUACCCGGGUAGUC
rnacentral:rRNA from 1 species